GCGCCGUUGGUCUAGCGGUAACACACAUCCUCUAUUUGAGUUUUCUGUCAUAUUCAAUUUUGGGUUGGGUCCCGGGUUCGAGCCCUGGACGGCGCA